CCAUUGAACUCUUCUGGCUGUUGAAUGAACGAGUCAGGGCCACAGCAGCAGCAGGGCCCGUCCCUGUGCCUGGAGUGGAAGCAUCUCAAUUACUAUGUGCCCGCCCAGGAGCAGAGCAACUACAGCUUCUGGAACGAGUGCCGCAAGAAGCGUGAGCUGAGAAUACUCCAAGACGCUAGCGGUCACAUGAAUACCGGCGACCUCAUCGCCAUAUUGGGCGGCUCGGGAGCUGGAAAAACCACAUUGCUGGCGGCGAUUUCGCAACGAUUGCGGGGUAACCUAACCGGGGAUGUGGUUUUGAACGGAAUGGCCAUGAAGCGGAAUCAGAUGACGCGUAUUUCCAGCUUUCUGCCGCAGUUCGAGAUCAAUCUUAAAACCUUUACGGCCUACGAGCAUCUCUACUUCAUGUCGCACUUCAAGAUGCAUCGCAGCACCACCAAGGCGGAAAAGCGUCAACGCGUGGUGGAUCUGUUGCUGGCUGUGGGUCUCAGGGACUCGGCUCACACUCGCAUCCAACAGUUGUCCGGGGGAGAGCGGAAACGCCUAAGUUUGGCCGAAGAGCUGAUCACAGAUCCUAUCUUUCUGUUUUGCGACGAGCCCACGACAGGCCUGGACAGCUUCAGUGCCUACUCGGUGAUCAAGACGCUGCGUCAUCUGUGCACCCGUCGCCGAAUAACCAAGCACUCUCUGAGCCAGGUGUACGGCGAGGACUCCUUCGAAACGGCCAGUGGCGAGAGCAGCGGCAGCAACUCCAUCGAAAUGGAGAUUGUGGGCAGAUCGCACGAAAGUCUGCUGCAAGGAAUGCGGGAUCUGCCUACGCUGGGCCUCCUCAACAGCAGUCCGAACGGAUCGCUCAAGAAGGCGGCUAUUUGCUCCAUCCACCAGCCCACGUCGGACAUCUUUGAGCUCUUCACACACAUUAUUCUGAUGGAUGGCGGCCGGAUUGUCUACCAGGGACGGACCGAGCAGGCAGCCAAGUUCUUCACAGAUCUGGGCUAUGAACUUCCAAUAAACUGCAAUCCUGCUGACUUCUACCUAAAGACGCUGGCGGACAGUCAGGGAGCAAAGAAUGCCGGCGCCUUACUGCGUGCCAGGUAUGAGCACGAUACAGAUGGACUCUACAGCGGCAGUUGGCUGCUGGCCCGCAGCUACAGCGGGGAUUACCUGAAGCAUAUGCAGAGCUUCAAGAAGAUACGUUGGAUAUACCAGGUAUAUCUGCUAAUGGUUCGCUUCAUGACUGAAGAUCUGCGGAAUAUCAAAAGCGGCCUCAUUGGCUUUGGAUUUUUUAUGAUCACCUCUGUGACGCUCUCUUUAAUGUACUCCGGUAUUGGUGGCUUGACCCAACGCACCGUGCAGGAUGUGGGAGGUUCCAUAUUCAUGCUCAGCACCGAGAUGAUCUUCACGUUCAGUUACGGCGUCACCUACAUAUUUCCCGCCGCCUUGCCGAUCAUACGGCGGGAGGUGGGAGAGGGCACCUACAGCCUGUCCGCCUACUAUGUGGCCCUGGUGCUGUCCUUUGUGCCGGUGGCCUUCUUCAAGGGCUACGUCUUCCUGUCGGUUAUCUAUGCCUCCAUCUACUAUACGCGUGGCUUUCUGCUCUACCUGUACAUGGGCCUGCUCAUGAGUCUCUCUGCCGUAGCCGCCGUAGGCUAUGGCGUCUUCCUCUCCAGCCUCUUUGAGUCGGACAAAAUGGCAUCAGAGUGUGCGGCGCCAUUCGAUCUGAUCUUCCUGCUAUUUGGUGGCGUAUAUAUGAAUGUGGACACGUGGCCGGGGCUCAAGUACUUGUCGCUCUUCUUCUAUUCAAAUGAGGCGCUGAUGUACAAGUUCUGGAUUGACAUUGACACCAUUGAUUGCCCCAUCAACGCGGACCAUCCGUGCGUGAAGAGCGGCCUAGAGGUAUUGCAGCAGGCCUCCUACCGCACCGCCGACUACACCUACUGGCUAGACUGCUUCAGUCUCCUGCUCGUAGCCGUGGUCUUCCACAUCGUAUCGUUCGGCCUAGUGCGGCGCUACAUCCAUCGCAGUGGUUACUAUUGAAUCGGAGCCAACUUUUAUUUAUCCAAUUUCACUUAACAUCUUAUAAACAUUGACUCGCCGCUUCAGCACAAACUGCUGAUGGGUUUACUUUAUAUAAUUAAGCCUAAAACUUCAGUGGAAAGUAUUGCAUUGAUCGAGCGCGGGGGUCGCAUAAAAUAAAUCCCAAUUGUGUCGUUAAUCUUAGCUGAAUUGCAACUAAUUUGCAAUCAUGAUACGAUACGUGUUCCGGGCGGGAAUAGUGGGAUGCGAUUUAUAAGACCAGACCCAUAUCUGUAUAGGAUCAAUUUUACAAUCAAUUCAAAGGGGUUGUCUUCCUACCAUUCAUGAUGCACUUGCAAUUAAACAAAUUAAGCUAAAACAAUCAAAAAAAAAAAAAAAAAAAAAGGAA